rnacentral:lncRNA from 1 species
GUUUUGGUAACGUACAGGACAUAUUAUUCGGGAAAGCAAAAUGGCCGACAGUUUAAGAGGUAAACAAGACGCUGAUAACAUUAAAUGUGGGAUUUGCUUUUCGGCUUUCACCAAACCUCUUCUAUUGGGCUGCUUUCAUAUAAUGUGUACACCAUGUAUAACAAAGUUAGCUAAAGGUAAAUGUUCAUUGACUUGUCCUGUAUGUAGAGCUGUUCAUUUAGUUAAAGUUGAUGGUGUCGAAGAAUUAACCUUUAAAAUAUCCAUACAUUCAUGACCGAAUUUUGUGUUUUCUGCAUUGUUUGUUAGAUUUCAGAGUAUGCUGAAUUCGAAUAUUUCUGGGAAUAUUUUUACCGAAGACGAUGACAUUUACCAUGUAUUUUAUAUAAAACUAUAUGUGUAUGUGAUAAUAAUUUCAUUACCUGCAGAAGAAAUGAAAGAAGUAAUGGCUCCCUUUUGUUUUCGGACAUUUAUUUUCUGAUGUUUCGUUUAUGUAUACGCUGUGAAAAGUAAAAUCACAAAAAUACUGAAAUGAGAGGAAGAUCUAAUCGAAAAGUCUAUAAUCACAUGGCAAAAUCAUAUGACAAUACACAUCAACAACGAAUGGACAAGAACUUAAAUGUUCUAUGUACUAGCCGAUUUACUUUCGCCAAUACACAUUGUUGAGAUUAAACGAUAGGGAAUCUUAUAUGAUUGAUGUUAGUGAAAAUUAUCUCAUUGCAUGUUAACUUUCCUACCCGAAAAAAAAUAUAUUCAAAUUAUUAAGCAGUCACGAUAGUGCGGUUCAUCCGGCCUUUUUCGUGACUAUUUUAUACCAAGAAAUAUUGAUUCUACGAAUGCCAAUUUUCAUGAUUUUAAAAUUGUAUAUAAAUUUGCAAUAUAGAGACUUAUUGCCGUUGACCGUGCAUACUAUUUCCAGUUUAAUUUCUCUGAUUAUGAAAAACUUGCUGCUCGUCUUCAUUCGGGGUAUAAUCCUACAAACAUUCAUCAGUGUUUCCUAACAAUAGUGUCAUAUUCGAGUCAUCACAAAUAGAUCCUGCUGAUGAACCAAGGAUGAUCACCGCUUUUAAUUUUGUUUCUUUGUCGGACAGCGAAGGCAGUUCUGUUUCAAAUCGAAAUUAAGAAAUGAAAGAUAUUUUGCAAAGAAACAGUUAAAUGGGAAAUGCGAUAUCUAAAUCGACGAAGUGCAAUCAAGACCAAAGGCAUGUAUUGAAAUCAGGAUCACCGCCAAUGCUUCAAUUAAAUUUUGUUUGAGAAAUGUAUCUCAUGACUUCGCAACACGAAAUUUAAAACACUAUAUCAAUUUAGUUCUGGCACCGCUAAAACUUUCUGAAUAAGUAUUUUUUUUUAUCUUAUUCAUUAAUGUUAACAUAAUAACAAAUUUUUUUCACGAG